rnacentral:rRNA from 1 species
ACUCCUACGGGAGGCAGCAGUGCGGAAUUUUGGACAAUCCGGGAAACCCUGAUCCAGCAAUGCCGCGUGUGUGAAGAAGGCCUUCGGGUUGUAAAGCACUCUUGUCAGGAACGAAACGGUGGGGGCUAUUAUCCUCUGCUAAUGACGGUACCUGAAGAAUAAGUCCCGGCUAACUACGUGCCAGCAGCCGCGGUAAUA